AAGAAGCCACAAGGAUGGGAGUGACUAAUUAGUCACUUAUGUUGCCACCUAGACGUGAAUAAUUCUGGAAUGGACAACUAUGUGUAGUUGUCUGAUUUCAAAGAAUAACAUGAAACAAAAAGUAGUCCAAAAAAAAUGUUAUCCUUUCAAAGAAAAAUCAGAUUUUCGUUCUAACAAUUUCCAUUUCAAGAGUUUCUAUCUUCUUGGUUUGAGAUAAAGGACCUGGAAACACAAUCUUCAAAUAAAACGUUGAGCAAGUGUAGACGAAAUUCAUUUCUGGUCUUAGUACACCAAAAAGAUUAAAGAGCGGGAUCAUUAAAAUUUUGUUCAAAGAAGCAGGAGCGUUAUUCUUGUGCGUUCAACAUAUUUCAUAUAAGCAGAACUUCAUUUUAUUCAAAUAAUUCAAGGAACAGGUAUGUUAAGGCACUUCCUUCUUUCUUUUGGCAUGAUCUAAUGUGAAAUGAAUACGCGAUUUCAUAAUGAAUCUACUCCUAGAAACUAAGGUUGUCCAUGUUGUUCUUUCCGUACAAAUUUAUUCUAAGAAAGUAUGUAUGAUCCUUGCUUCCUAGUGAAGUUCAUAAUGAUGGUAUGAUGUCCAUAAUGUUAAUCGAAGUUGCAACGUCCUUACGUCACUCUGAAAGGUUUAGAACAUGAUUCCAUCAGUCUAGCAUGCAUUAUAUAUAUGUAUCUAUUUUAUUCUACCGAGUCGCGCUAUAGUCGGCCGGGUACGACACCUAUUGUGCAACCACUGAUCAGUUGGAUUUACCAAGCUCCACGUGGCCGGGUACGAUUCUACCGAGCCUUAUAAUGGCCGGGUACGUUUUUACCGAAUCCUCUUUGAGGCCGGGUACGAUAUGAUGAUGAUGAUUCCCAUAGAGGCGAAUGUUUUCAAAAAAAAGUUUAUGUAUAUAUAUGUAUUAUGCAUUUCAUAUCAGUAGCCCCCAGAGGUACUCAGAUGUUACAGGUUGUAUCUCAUCUAUCUCUCUUUACAUUACUGUUCUUGUUUAUGCUUCCAUGCCUCACAUACUCGGUACAUUAUUCGUACUGACAUCCCUUUUGCCUAGGGAAGCUGCGUUUCGUGCCCACAGGUCCUGAUAGACAGGUCGAGAGCCCUCCAAGUAGGCUAUCAGCUCAACGGAAGAUGUUGGUACGCUCCAUUUGCUUUGGAGUCGCUCGUUUGGUUUGUAUUAUUUAGACAUGUAUUGUUUGAUAUGGCGGGACUCUGUCCACACCUUUAUAGCAUUUAUGUAUUCAUAGAGGCCUGUAGACAUAUGUCGUGUACGUAAAAGAUUGUACGGCCUUGUCGCCCUAUGUCUUGAGUUUAUAAAUGAUUAUGUUGGCUUAUUAGGCUUGUAUGUCACGUGUAUAUGAUGAUGUAAUAAGAAAGAUACGUUACGUUGGUGCUCGAUUGAAUAAGGUACCGGGUGCCCGUCGCGGCUUAUCGGUGUGGGUCGUGACAAAAGUGGUAUCAAAGCCGUUCUUUCCUAGGGAUGUCUACAAGCCGUGUCUAGUAGAGUCUUGUUUAUGGGUGUGUCGUGCACUACACUUAUAAGCAUGAGGCUACAAGGCAUUUAGGAUUGUCACUCUUUCUUCUAACUCUAGAUCGUGUGGUAAAGCUCACUUAUAAGAAUUCAAAUUCUGAAUUUUUUUUAUUAUUCCUAAUAAGACGAUACCUACAUCUUUAAAGAAGGUUGGAAAGAUAGAGAGUUGUGUAAGAGUUAAGUAAGAGGAAUUCGAUUUUUCAUGAUGCAUAUGAUAAGUAAAUGUACGAUCUUCAGUAGAUCAUGUAUGUACUAAGACGUAUAAGGUUCUUGAUGAGGAGCUUUAUGGCACGAAUACUUAUCCACUCUUUUGGUAAAAAAAGGAAUAACGGAAUCGGAAGUUAGACACAAGUUUUAGCAAGUAAAAUAAGCAAGGUGAAGAAGGGUACGAGGCACUCAGUUAAUAAAGAUUAUCAUUCAGGAAGAGAGAUAUAAGCAUUUUGAGUUAUCUUCAACAGUAACAGAUGUACGUACAAGCGGCCACACCUAUCUCAGUCAUGCCCUAUGGGAGCUAACGGAUAUGGUGUAAGAGAAGGAUGGGAUAGCAGGAUCCGGCUGGGGUUAGAGUAACCCAAAAUGAUUGAUGGAUGGGUUGCGCUAAUUUACAUUUUGGAAGGAUGUUAAAAAGGUGUUAAUAGAUCUCCUUAUGAGACACCUAGAUGGUGCAUUCUAAAAUAGUGCAGCCAGAUAUGAGUGCUACAAAGACAUGCACCAUAAGCCUUGAAGGGACAAGUAUUAUCUUAGUGUUUCUUGUGUCCCUAGUAAAGCGAGAACGUUAAGCAAUUUAAAGAGCCACUAGAUGGAGCAAAGGAAAGUUAAAAGCGAAAGAAUGUUGUAUUGAAGUUUUCACAAGAAAAGGGAUAUGCACAAAUAUUAGCGAAGUAAUGAGAAGAGAGAUAAGGAAGCAUUGUGAAUAAGGUGUGAUACAUGGAUAAAAAUGGUUGAGCGUUACAGAACCUAUAGUCAAAUGAAGGAAGAGACAAAGUUUGAUGGGCCUUAAGACUACGAAAGAGUAUAGGCCAUAAGGUUAUAUCCUCAUUUCGAAAAAUAUGUUUGUGACUCUAACGCGACUACCAGAGGGGAGAGUUAAUUCCCAGAGUAACAGAAAUCAGUAUGGAUUGAUAAACAAGAUAAACUAAACAUGAAUUAGGGACUGAGUGACUGGUGAUAGUCGCCAUCAUAAGAAUUUCAGAUUUUGUUCUGUCGAUAAUGGAAUGGACGACAAUAGAAGAUUCAUGAGAAAUUUAGAGAAUGGUCAUUCAGGGAGACGCUUCCCUAAAUCAUGCAAUGUGAGCAAAGUUAAGCUUAAGAGACUAUAUGUGCUAGUUACGCUAAGUGUCACCCUCGCGAAUAAGGGAAUUUGUCAUCUUUGGGACUGAAGGAUUGCCGUAAGGUGAGUAAAGAUCAUUGAUGUUGAGAAACGACGGCAAGGAUGAAGAGGUAAAACAUCUAUAAGUAGAUCCUUGUGGCUUCAUCUCCUAGUACACCCAUAAAGGGGGGAAUAUAGAGUGAUGUGGCAUUAAGUUAGAAUUAAGUAGUUCUAGUCACUAUGGAAUGGUAAACGAAGAAUGUGAUAAAGAAAAGAGGAAUGAGAUGGCACUUAUCCAAAUCUUAUAGAUACGCUACGAUUCAAGAAUAUUGUGCAAGCACGACAUCAAAGAGAGGGAGUAAAGGUUCUUGCCCGAGCUGUUAUUAGUAAAUAUGGAGCCAGUGUGAGACGUAAGUUAAGACAAAGGAAAUAACCCAAGAAAGAUUACAAGGAAUAUUGAUAUGAGAAUGGGCCAAUGAGUAGUUAGUAAUUGGUCAGGAAGAUCCCAGUUAUGGCUAAACAGGAAGUUACAGAUGAGUCAUCAGAUUGUGUAAAAUAAACAUAGUAAAACCUAACAUGGAGAAUUCAGCCUUGGAGAAUAUCAUUAUAAUACUUGAGAAAUAUUCAAAUAGGAGUUGGGGUAGUUAAAGGUACUGUAUGAGUGUUACGAAAGUAAAAGACAUUUCCACUAGGAAGACAGACAAAACUUCAGUUCAGAAGCAGCCGUACGAGCAGAUGAGUAUGGAGGUAAGUAACUAAGGAUAAUUACAAGUGAGCACGAACAUCAAAAAAAUUCUAUCGGGAAUACGAUAUAAUAAGCUCGCAUCUUUACAAACGUCAGAGGGUCUUCCUUAUAUACUACGACGAAAGACUAGCUGAAAUAAGGAAGAAGGUUUCAACCUUAGUACAAUGACCUAAAGAGGAAAUGGUCGUGUGACUAGAGUCUGAAAACAAUAUUGUAUGCACUCCCUAAGAAAGUGGCACCUACGGUGGCUAAUGAACAGGGAGUAAAAAAAAUCAGAAGUGAUAUUCAGAUUCAUAUGAGUUGUAUGGAAUUUCAAUAUAUAUGAGCACUAGGAUAAGCUAUUUAUGGACACAACAAGGGGGCAUAAAGAUCAAAAAAAAGUAAUAGCCUACGUUUAACGAGAGCUAAUAUUGAAAAAAAAGGAAUUACUCGAUCAAUGAUCUAGAGUUGGUUACAUUAAGAACUCACUUAAGGGUUUGGAGCCUUAUAUAUGCAGCAUAUAUAGCCGUAGAAGAUUCUGGUAUACGUUAAAAGAGCCCAGGUCAUAAACAAAGGAUUAAAUUGUUAAAGGAUUGUAUCAUGCAUAUUCCUCAGUGCCCAUAAAAGGCUAAACAGAAUAACUAAUACCAGGAGCCGCAGGUUAAAAGAUAUCUUAUGCCUACAUAAAGGCUGAUCAGAAAGAAGAAGAGACUAAAGAGUUACAUCGACUAAGCAAAAUAGGAGGGACCAAAAGAAUUAUAGACCUUCGGAUCACUAUCAAGUAGCAAAAGUAUAAUAAAGAUAGUACAGUAACCACAUUUUAUAAUAGCUAUAUGAUGAAGCCAACUGAAGAGUACCAACCUCAUAAGAAGUCAGUACGAAGCUCCCAGCGGAUUGUAUAUGCACCAAAGGUGUAAGAAUUAUAAUAGAGCUUCUACUAUGGACGUGAAUUAUACCUAUGUGGAGGGAAGGUCAUCAAAGAGAUAGAAGAUACAAUGUGAUAUUUUAAGGUAUGUAAGGUAAAUGUGAACAACGUACGAGAUUACUCAAAGAUAGAAGAUCAUGAAUAGUCCAUACUUUGGAUAAAAAGCUAUAAGUAUGGGGAUUCAGUAUCCACGAAUAAUAGAAGCAUCGCCAUUAACAUAACUUCCAGCCUAUGGUCUAGGUAUCGAAAAGCCUGACUAAGAGAGUAAAGAAGAGUUAGAGAUGACGUGAUAUCUCGCUUGACGUUCCAAAAUGACAUAAGGAAACCUAUGAUGAAAGCAAGUUGAAAGGUUGCAAGUAAUAUAAAUAGAGUUGUGUAGGUCGCAAGCCAUUAUAUGGUAAAACGACAAUGUUCUAGAAGACAAGAGUAAGGAUAAGAAUAGGUGAGUGAGAAGGUAACAAAAAUGGAUAAGUCCUCAGGAUUAAGCCCAUGAAAACAAGAAGAGCAGAUGGUUUCUCUAAGUUAUACAAAGCUCAAUAUAGCCCGAAUAAACUCAAAGGAGUUUAAGACUAAUAGCAUUUAGAAGAGAUGGAAUGCAGCCCUGGUAGUAGAAUGAAGGUGUAAUUGUGAUAGAUAAAGGACGACGUUUGGGCCUUCGAUUGAGUAAUGAUUCAACAAAGAAAAGAAACGGAUCUUAUGAAUUGGAUAGGAUUAAAGUACCCACACAAGGUGAAUCGCAAUCGGAUGUUGUGAGGUACGGUUAUGAAAGCAGGGUAUCACCCCAGGUGGAUCAAUCUAGUUCAUUUCAGACGUUCCCUGAUAAAACGUGAAUCCUAGCAGCAAUAUUACAUAAAAGGUUAAGUUAUCAAUGGUAUAUUGUAGAUCAAUAUCGAGGUGAACCAACAAUAGAUGGACAAAAGUUGCAAAGUAUGAGAUAAGAUUAGGCCGUCAUUCUAAGAUAAACAGUAAUGAGGAAGUUUUAAAAGACUUAAAUUUAUACAUAUGGAAUGAGCAACGAGAGUAAGCUGGGAUUUGUAGCAGACCUCAACAACAAUAAAUUAAAGUAAAAAGUUAUGACAGUAAAUUCAUACGGAUGGUUAAACGUACCUAUGCAAGGAGAUAUAAUAAUAUUCAUGAAUUUAACCAAGUACCGAGCGAAGAAUUUCAGUAUUCUCAUAAAUGCCCAAAGGGACAUCUUAUCAAGCUCUACAUGUGAAGCCUGGAAAUUGGACUCACUUACAAGAUCAAAACUAUACAGGCUGCAUGAUGAAAGGUAACAACAGUUACGAGAUUGGAAGGAUUUCAACUACAAAUUGUGGUGAGAGAAGGAGGCCUAAGGAAGGAUGCCCUAGACUUCGAACUUACUCACAAAACAGUUGCUAAGAGAGAAAGAAGAGAACAAAGUAUUCAGAAGACGUAAGUUACGAAAAUGAUAAGUGCACCAGUCAACAUUCGAGGAUGAAUGUUCCAAAGGGGGGAAUGAUGUUACGCCCCAGGUUUUUGCGCGUGAAAGAACGCCAUAAAUAGAGUGAUUAAAGUCUGAAAAUGAGAUAUUAUAUUUUGCAUUUUCGUACGUUAAAGCGUCGUCGUACGUUAAAGCUUCGUCGUAAGAUUAAUCGACGUAAAUUUGGGAACGAAAUUUAUUUUGGGAUUAUAAGUAUUACACUAUUUACAACAAGCGAUAAAUAAGUGCUAUGAAGGAUAAAGGGGUACACGAAUUAAGGAAAAGGGGUUUCGUCGAAAGUGGCCAAUUUGAAAUAAAAUACGGUUCGAGCGAUAACAUCCGAUAAUUAUAAAUUAUUAUCACGCAAGGUACCAUAUUAUCACGGUAGUGUAAUAUAUAAAGUAUAUAUGAAGUAUUUUAAAAAUAAUUAGAAUUUUAAGUAAUUCUUGGUAAUUUUAAAAUUAUACGGGUAAUAGAUUAAUUACCGGAUAACGAAAUAUUACUCGGUUAAUUAAUAAGUGGAUAAAAAUUAUUAGAAUAAUCCCACCCCACGUGGAAAGAAGCCACAAGGAUGGGAGUGACUAAUUAGUCACUUAUGUUGCCACCUAGACGUGAAUAAUUCUGGAAUGGACAACUAUGUGUAGUUGUCUGAUUUCAAAGAAUAACAUGAAACAAAAUGUAGUCCAAAAAAAAUGUUAUCCUUUCAAAGCAAAAUCAGAAUUUCGUUCUAACAAUUUCCAAUUAAAGAGUUUCUAUCUUCUUGGUUUGAGAUAAAGGACCUGGAAACACAAUCUUCAAAUAAAACGUUGAGCAAGUGUAGACGAAAUUCAUUUCUGCUCUUAGUACACCAAAAAUAUUAAAGAGCGGGAUCAUUAAAAUUUUGUUCAAAGAAGCAGGAGCAUUAUUCUUGUGCGUUCAACAUAUUUCAUAUAAGCAGAACUUCAUUUUAUUCAAAUAAUUCAAGGAACAGGUAUGUUAAGGCACUUCCUUCUUUCUUUUGGCAUGAUCUAAUGUGAAAUGAAUACGCGAUUUCAUAAUGAAUCUACUCCUAGAAACUAAGGUUGUACAUGUUGUUCUUUCCGUACAAAUUUAUUCUAAGAAAGUAUGUAUGAUCCUUGCGUCCUAGUGAAGUUCAUAAUGAUGGUAUGAUGUCCAUAAUGUUAAUCGAAGUUGCAACGUCCUUACGUCACUCUGAAAGGUUUAGAACAUGAUUCCAUCAGUCGAGCAUGCAUUAUAUAUAUGUAUCUAUUUUACUCUACCGAGCCGCGCUAUAGUCGGCCGGGUACGGCACCUAUUGUGCAACCACUUAUCAGUUGGGUUUACCGAGCUCCACGUGGCCCGGUACGAUUCUAUCGAGCCUUAUAAUAG
rnacentral:lncRNA from 1 species